rnacentral:rRNA from 1 species
ACUGCUCAGUAACACGUGGAUAACCUGCCCUUGGGACCGGCAUAACCCCGGGAAACUGGGGAUAAUUCCGGAUAACGCAUAUUUGCUGGAAUGCUUUAUGCGUCAAAAGGAUUCGUCUGCCCAAGGAUGGGUCUGCGGCCUAUCAGGUAGUAGUGGGUGUAAUGUACCUACUAGCCAGCGACGGGUACGGGUUGUGAGAGCAAGAGCCCGGAGAUGGAUUCUGAGACAUGAAUCCAGGCCCUACGGGGCGCAGCAGGCGCGAAAACUUUACAAUGCGGGGAACCGUGAUAAGGGGACACCGAGUGCCAGCAUCAUAUGCUGGCUGUCCGGAUGUGUAAAAUACAUCCGUUAGCAAGGGCCGGGCAAGACCGGUGCCAGCCGCCGCGGUAACACCGGCGGCCCGAGUGGUGAUCGUGAUUAUUGGGUCUAAAGGGUCCGUAGCCGGUUUGGUCAGUCCUCCGGGAAAUCUGAUAGCUCAACUAUUAGGCUUUCGGGGGAUACUGCCAGACUUGGAACCGGGAGAGGUAAGAGGUACUACAGGGGUAGGAGUGAAAUCUUGUAAUCCCUGUGGGACCACCUGUGGCGAAGGCGUCUUACCAGAACGGGUUCGACGGUGAGGGACGAAAGCUGGGGGCACGAACCGGAUUAGAUACCCGGGUAGUCCCAGCCGUAAACGAUGCUCGCUAGGUGUCAGGCAUGGCGCGACCGUGUCUGGUGCCGCAGGGAAGCCGUGAAGCGAGCCACCUGGGAAGUACGGCCGCAAGGCUGAAACUUAAAGGAAUUGGCGGGGGAGCAC